AUGACUCCCCGUUUGGAUGUUAUUUUCAGAUUGUGCAUUGUUUAAGAAGGAAGAAUCACUAUAGCUUGUGAUUUAAUCUUUUGACGUUAAUAUAUUGUUGUAUUUUGCGAUUAGGGGUAAUCCGCAAUUUUUGUCGUUGAUUUUCGCGACCAAAACAAUGAAAAACACAGGGCUAUGUGCCAGAAAACUAGAAGGUGGACAUGUAUUUUUAAUUGUUUGCUGUGAGAUACAUAUGUAUAUGUUAAAUAUGAAAUGCAUUUAUUUCAGGUGUGUGAUUACAGACUUGUGUGUGAGGUUUUGAUUGUGGCGCAGUCAGUUGUUUGCCGAGAAGCCUUGAAAACUGUGUAUUGCCCCCCAAGGCUUUGAACGAAACGAAACAAAAAGAAAAUAGAAACAAUGCCGUCAAAAAGUACCACUGCCAUUCUAACAAAGCUUCGAUCUUUAAUGAGAAAAACAAAGCAUAUGUUUCAGAGCCAUUACAUGCUUAUAUUGUACCUUCUGGGGAUGCACACCAGAGUGAGUAUAUAGCACCUUAUGACAAACAGGAGGCAUUUAUCUCUGGAUUUGAUGGAUCUGCAGGUA